rnacentral:rRNA from 1 species
UACAGAGGGGGCGAGCGUUGUUCGGAAUUACUGGGCGUAAAGGGCGCGUAGGCGGCCUUCUAAGUCGAACGUGAAAUCCCCGGGCUCAACCCGGGAACUGCGUCCGAUACUGGAAGGCUUGAAUCCGGGAGAGGGAUGCGGAAUUCCAGGUGUAGCGGUGAAAUGCGUAGAUAUCUGGAGGAACACCGGUAGCGAAGGCGGCAUCCUGGACCGGUAUUGACGCUGAGGCGCGAAAGCCAGGGGAGCAAACGGG